rnacentral:antisense_RNA from 1 species
ACGACUGGAAUCACACAUACACCGCCACAAGAGGUCUGCAGUGAAGGUCCCAGAGUCCCAGACAGAUCUUUCUGCUGAUGCAGCUGUUAAGAGUGUUUCAUAAACUGUGACACUGAGCAAAAUCAUAGAAGGAAACUCUAUGGACAAUUUCAGAUGGAGAAGAAGAAAGGAUUGGAAGUUCAAUUUGGCCAUGACAAUUAGCUCCUAAGACUUGGAGUACUUUGUUACACAGCAGUAAAUAACUAAUACAGUGAUGUUUGAACAAAGACUUGAAGAAGCUGAGUGAGAAGGCCAUGCGGAUAUCUUGGAGAAGUGCAUUCCAGGAAGAGGAAAAGCCAGUGCAGAGACACUGAAGCAGGGCAUGACUGAUGUGUGUAAGGAGCUCAUAUAUAUGAUCAUCUACAGUCCACUGAGGAGAAUAGCAGACGAGAGGCCAGGUGCAGUGCAUGUAAUCCCAGCACUUUGGGAGACUGAGAUGGGAAGAUCGCUUGAGGCCAGGAGUGCAAGACCAGCCUGGGCAACAUAGCAAGAACUUGACUCUACUAAAAAAAAAAAGGAUCCUUCAACUUCAACAAUAACAACACGAGGGAAGUGAAGAAAAACACUUUCUAAGGAAAUCUCUCUCUGAGCUACCAUCCGGCUAGGGAGAGCCUGAAAGCAGAAUGCUGACUUGACUAGCUCUGGCCAAUAAAGGAAAUCACCAGUGGAAAGGCUACCAGGGGGCUUCCUCAAAAGAGAGGGACGGU